rnacentral:rRNA from 1 species
GAGCUACCGCUAUUGGAGUUCGAUUAAGCCAUGCGAGUCGAGAGUCCUCGGGACUCGGCGUACCGCUCAGUAACACGUGGGUAACCUGCCCUAUGCUGGGGAAUAACCUCGGGAAACUGAGAAUAAUGCCCCAUAGCCCACUACGCCUGGAACGGUGAGUGGGUCAAAGCCCCGGCGGCAUAGGAUGGGCCUGCGCCGUAUCAGGUUGUAGGGGGUGUAAAGUACCCUCUAGCCAUCAACGCGUACGGGUGUUGGGAGACAUUGCCCGGAGAUGGAUUCUGAGACACGAAUCCAGACCCUACGGGGUGCAGCAGGCGCGAAAACUUGGCAAUGCGAGAAAUCGUGACCAGGGAACUCCAAGUGCGUAGGGUAAGACCUACGCUUUUCUUGACUCUUCAAAGGUCUUGGAAUAAGGGGUGGGUAAGGACGGUGCCAGCCGCCGCGGUAAUACCGGCGCCUCAAGUGGUAGUCGCUUUUAUUGGGCCUAAAACGUCCGUAGCCGGUCUGGUGCAUUCGUGGGUAAAAUCAACCCGCUCACGGGUUGAAUUCUGCGAGCACGGCCAGACUUGGGACCCGGAGAGGUGUGGGGUACUCUCAGGGUAGGGGUAAAAUCCUGUCAUCCUGAAAGGACCCCCUGUCCCGAA